rnacentral:rRNA from 1 species
UACGGGGGGGAGCAAGCGUUUGUUCGGAUUUACUGGGCGUAAAGGGCGCGUAGGCGGCCAACUAAGUCAGACGUGAAAAUCCCUCGGCUUAACCGGGGAACUGCAUCUGAUACUGGAUGGCUUGAGAUUGGGAGAGGGAUGCGGAAUUCCAGGUGUAGCGGUGAAAUGCGUAGAUAUCUGGAGGAACACCGGUGGCGAAGGCGGCAUCCUGGACCGGCAUUGACGCUGAUGAGCGAAAGCUAGGGGAGCAACGGG